ACAGGGUUUCACAAAGACAGGGAACAGGCUGCAAACCAGCAGAAACCCAGCUCCUGUGACCUCUCCCCAUCUCUCUACACCAUGGCCCAGCCAACUCUCCCUCUCUAUCUCCUGGGGCUUUUCCUGACAGGUUGCUACGCUCAGGUGACUCAGCCGCCCUCCGAGUUCGUGUCUCCCGGGGGGAAUGUCCAGCUCCCCUGCACACUAGAGGGCAGUUACACCGUCAGUGCCAACCGUGUCGUUUGGAUACAGCAGAGACCGGGCAGCAUCCCCAGAUACCUGUUGUAUUUUUUCACUGAAUCUAACAAAGGCAUGGGCACGGGGGUCCCCAGCCGGUUCGCUGGCUCUCGCUCUGGCUCCGACAAGAUUGGCUAUUUAACCAUCACUGGGGCCCAGGCAGAGGAUGAUGCCGUCUAUUACUGUGUUACAUGGACUGGGAGUGCUUGCACAGUGCUACCGUCCUAUGGGGAAGUGAGACAAAAACCUUAUCACUCCACUGCAGCCCUGUGGCAAGGCUGCACCUGCUCUGAGCACCAGCCUGCUUCUUACACAGGGGGCGUUGGCUCCUGCUCCCCUCACAGCUCCUCAUGCACUGAAAUACCCUGUGAAUUCAGGCCUCGUCUCUGCUCAUGGGUCUCUUGGUUUCUGAUAGUCAUCUUGUCGCUCAAGAGCUGA